rnacentral:rRNA from 1 species
AAGUGUGAUAAGGGGAUCCYAAGUGCUCAUGCUUUGCAUGGGCUUUUGCCAAGAGUAAAUAUCUUGGAGAAUAAGUGGUGGGAAAGACUGGUGCCAGCCGCCGCGGUAACACCAGCGCCACGAGUGGCAAYCRUUUUUAUUGGGCCUAAAGCGUCCGUAGCCGGUUUAAUAAAUCUUUUGUGAAAUCGUUGGGCUUAACUUAACGGYGUGCAGGAGACACUGUUAAACUUGGAACCGGGAGGAGUCAGAGGUAUUCUGGGGGGAGCGGUAAAAUGCUAUAAUCCCUGGAGGACCACCUGUGGCGAAGGCGUCUAACUAGAACGGAUUUGACGGUGAGGGACGAAAGCUAGGGGAGCAAACCGGAUUAGAUACCCGAGUAGYCCUGGCCGUAAACUCUGCGAGCUAGGUGUUGCAUAUUCUUCGUGAUUGUGCAGUGUCRAAGCGAAGGUGUUAAGCUCGCCGCCUGGAAAGUACGGUCGCAAGACUGAAACUUAAAGGAAUUGGCGG